rnacentral:miRNA from 1 species
AUGUUUGUAUCUCUCUCUCUCUCUCUCUCUCUCUCUCUCUCUCUCUCUCUCUCUGUGUGUGUGUGUGUGUGUGUGUGUGAGACAGAGACAGAGAAAAGAGAGAGAGAGAGAGAGAGAGAGAGAGAGAGAGAGAGAGAGAGAGAGAGUGUAUGU